GGAAGAGGGAAGUGUGAGUUAGGAAUACCUGUUAGCUGAGAGCACAUGCUCUUUCUAUGCUUUCAUUUGGAAAACCCUGUUGAGGAACAUUUGUGUUCUACAUCUCAAUAGGGUUUUGGUAUCUGCUUGAUUUUGAUGGCUUCUCAAUUGGUUCAAAUUCUUGAUGGUAUUGUCUUCUACGUGGAAGUAUAUCCGAACUCCAGAACGAAAAGACACUUUUACCUUGGAUUAACCCUUGUUGAGCAAAUGUGGAUUUUGUCCUUCUAACCCCUAAAACAUCUACAAUGGCAUGAUGGACCAAGGACAUUUGUGGUAACUCUGGACUUUGAUAUCGGGUGUACUUUUGUAAGGUUUUGCUUCCAAAUGCUAUGCAUCAUGAAAUUGUCACAACCUUGUGUAUGAUCUGAAAAUGUAUACCUUACUUAAGGGAAAUAUAAUUGUUGGUUAAUGGUGAUUGAUCCCUCCUCAUUUAUUUAUGUAACCCUUGAAGUUAGUGUUACAACGUGUCAAUUGAUUGCUUUUCAUUUUCUUUGAGAAGAAAUGUCACAUAACUCUAUUAAAGUAAACCUCAGGCAGAAAUCUGAUGAAAAAAUGAAACGACUAACGCAAAUGUCAGUGUGAGAUGAAGAGAUUUGUAAUGUUCUGGACUAAUACACCAAGACCUCAAACACUCUUCAGUCAGCUUGAAAUGACAAGAAUAAGUUAGUAGUUGACAGGAGCUGAUUUCUAUUCACACAAACACACAUGAAUGCAGUUCAUUUAUUCAGAAGCAUGAGAUGGACGGGCUGACAGAGAAGUGUGAAGAUGAUGAUGAUGAUCUGACGUUACACUACACAUUUCAUCUAUUGACGAUAACUUGCCAUCAAUCACCCUCCAGGAUAUCACCAAACAUCAUGUGUAUAAAACAGUUACAGAAUUACACAAUCCUCAUCCAGUCAUGAACUAAACAGAAACAGACUGCUUUGAUGUGGACGCAGAAGUGAGUUUGGGACAUCUUGUUGAGAUAUAAACCCUUUGACUUCAACCGUGUCUAAAAACACUUUUCUUUAAAGAGGACAUUGAAUGAGUUCAGUCAAUAACAGCUGAGGUCAACACAAUCAAUGACGCCCUGACACUCGGAGGAAACCCACAUCUCCAGCUGCUUGACAAACCAAGCAAAACACGCACACACGCACGCAAGCAUGGACGCACAAAUACACACCCACACAAAUAAACACGAACACAGACACACAUACACACACACACAUACACAGACACACACAAAUAUACACACAAGCACCCACACACGCACAAAAUACACACACAUGCACACACACAAACAAGCACACACGCAAAUAUACACACACACACACGCACACACACACAAAUACACACACACAUGUACAAAACAUGCACACACACAACAGCCCUAUUUUAAAUUAAAGUCUGACUGUAGAUAUCCGUGGGUGAGUGAAUUUAUCGGAUCUCUAUUAUCACACACACACACAGAGUUCAGCGCCAUACAAACACACUUUGUUAGUUUCAGCAGCGUCAGUGAGAAUGUGAAUGAAUUGUUGCUGUCAGCUUGUGUGAUUCAUGCUGGAGCUGAAGCAGGAUGAAAAUAAUGAAAUAAAUAACAGGCAACGGUCAAUGACAGCACAUCUAUCAGCGGCUCGUGUCCGCCCCCGCCGGCGAGCUAAAUCUAGCUAUUGCCUGAAUCAUUUUUAAAGGACAGUCCUGUAAAGCAUCAGCUGAGGCCUCUGACAGCGGUUUGUUAGCAGGAUAGAUGAGCGGCGCUCUGAGGUAAUCUAGCAGCUGUCAGAUACACCGCACCACACGUGCUCUUCAUCGGCUCGCUGUGUUUCAGAGGCUCACGCAUUUGUCAGCUCUAGUUGGAAAUAGUAAAUGUGAAGAGUGACGUCCAUCUUCCCCAUAGCGGCAUCUUCACAAGGUCAACAGAGUUCAAUGAGGAAGAAGAUCAAUUGGGUUUUUAACACGAGCAGCGGCGCGUUCAACACAAACACCUUAAACAAACCUGGAAGCCAGAAUAUAUCAAAUAUUGUGCUCUUAUAGACAUAUUCAAUUGUUUCUUUUGUUUACUGGCAUACAGUUUGUACAAGAUCUGAAUGAACAUUACAGUAAAAGCCAUUGUUAGAUUUAAUUUCCGCAUAAUCGAAUACAAGCCUGUUAACAAAUGAAUUGUGAAGUUGUUAAGCUCACUGAAUACAUUCUUGGCCAGACAGUUGGAGGAAGGGUUUCCCUCUGGCUAUAUGGGGGGAUUCUUUCUAUGCUAAACAUUCUCGUCUGCUAUACCUUAUUUGGUCAUUCUGUCAACCCCUGGAC